UACACUCCUGCGGGAGGCAGCAGUGGGGAAUUUUGGACAAUGGGCGAAAGCCUGAUCCAGCAAUGCCGCGUGAGUGAAGAAGGCCUUCGGGUUGUAAAGCUCUUUUGUCAGGGAAGAAACGGUGAAAGCUAAUAUCUUUUGCUAAUGACGGUACCUGAAGAAUAAGCACCGGCUAACUACGUGCCAGCAGCCGCGGUAAUACGUAGGGUGCAAGCGUUAAUCGGAAUUACUGGGCGUAAAGCGUGCGCAGGCGGUUUUGUAAGUCUGAUGUGAAAUCCCCGGGCUCAACCUGGGAAUUGCAUUGGAGACUGCAAGGCUAGAAUCUGGCAGAGGGGGGUAGAAUUCCACGUGUAGCAGUGAAAUGCGUAGAUAUGUGGAGGAACACCGAUGGCGAAGGCAGCCCCCUGGGUCAAGAUUGACGCUCAUGCACGAAAGCGUGGGGAGCAAACAGGAUUAGAUACCCCGGUAGUCCCAUGA
rnacentral:rRNA from 1 species